rnacentral:rRNA from 1 species
GACGAACGCUGGCGGCGCGCUUAACACAUGCAAGUCGAGCGAAGCGGCGGACGGGUGAGUAACACGUGAGUAACCUGCCUUAGACCUUGGGAUAGCCUCGGGAAACCGGGAUUAAUACCAAAUGGUCUAAGAUGGACUCGCGUCCCCUUAGCUAGUUGGUGAGGUAACGGCCCACCAAGGCGACGAUGGGUAGCCGGCCUGGGAGGGGGAACGGCAACAUGGGAACUGAGAAACGGUCCAAAUUCUACGGGAGGAAGCAGUGGGGAAUAUGGCACAAGGGAGGGAACCCUGAUGCAGCGACGCCGGGGGAACGAAGAAGGCUUUCGAGUCGUAAAGUUCUUUUAUAUGGGAAGCGGUACCAUAAGAAAAAGCCCCGGCUAACUACGUGCCAGCAGCCGCGGUAAUAC